rnacentral:lncRNA from 1 species
AAAGAAGAGGCAUGGAGGUGAAUGCAGGCAGCAGCUUUCAGGGAAGAAGAAGCAUCAGGCUGCAGACCUUGCCUCCUCCCUGCCCUGAUGGCAGGACUGAGGCCUCCCAGGGAUGAAGAAACUGAGGCUGAGGCAGUUCAACAACUUGCCCAAGGCCACGCAGCAGGCACAGGGCAGGCUGGAUCUCCUCCCAAAUUGCAUGCUCCAUGCCAAAGAGGUCAAGCCACCAAAUGACACUGACUUCCUGCCUUUAAGAGCUUUAUCUCUGCGGACCUGGAGCUGCUGGUCACCAUGGAAACAGAAGCUUUUGUUCACCACUUCCUCUUCUCUUUUUCUCGCUCCCCACCCCUCGUCUUUCCUUCCUCUCCUCACACCCACUUGCCCUCCUCUCUACUUUCUUUCCUCUAUUUUUAUUCCUAAUUUUCUAUCUCACUUGCCCUGAUUUCCUCAUCUAU